rnacentral:tRNA from 1 species
GGAGCUGUGGCUCAGUGGUAGAGUGCUUGCCUAGCAUGCAUGAGGCACAAUCCUCAGCACCA